AGAACCUUCAAACCACUGAGUCAACUGCUUAGAGACAUCCCAGCAGGCUCACUUGUCUUCAGACAGGAGACCAAAUAGGAUGCUGUGCUGUUGAUUUCGGGUUUGUGGAAGCUGAGACCACAAGACCAAGAAAAGUGGAGGCCACGGUGGAGGCCGUGGAGGUGCCUGGAGACGCCUGGUUCACUCUUGGAUCCAGCGUCUCUGGCCAAAAUGAAACAAAAUUGAGUCAGGGCAGCCAGAGCCAGGACCAUGAAGACCAGCUUGAAAAGUGGUCAGCCCCAGAGGACCCUAAGGACACUGGCCAAGAGGACCCGAAGGAGUUAACCCCAGAAGAAACGAAGGAAUCCAGAUGAGAGAAAAUGAAGGAGUCAAGUCCAGAGGAACCAAAGGAGUCUUCCUCAGAGGACCCUAAGGAGUCCUCUCAAGAGGACUUGAGUCCUCCAUAGGGGACCUGAAGGAGUCCUCCCCACCAGAUCCUCAGCCCUGCUCAUUGUAUUCAUAUGUUUAAGAGCUCAAUAUGUUCCCCCUUGCAGUAUCACAUGCACUGAGUCUUGGGAGGGGUGGCAAAGGAAGUUCAUUUUACUAAGUGUCCUGUCUGUCCCUUUCCACCAGUACCAUCUGUACCCUCCUGGACACAUGGAUUGACGAGAUCCCUAAGGACUUUUCCAAGACAUCAGACAUGUCCGUUCUGAAGAGGAUCCGGAGAGCUGCAAGCUGAGCUGUACAUCCAGAUCUGGAGGUCAAGUCUGUUAACCAGCAAUGAAGACAGCUAUUCUCAAGCCAGAACCAGCCAGAACCAGAGCAGCCGGAGAGAAGAGAACCCAACAAGGUUCUGUGACACGUGUGCAGCUGGAGCUGCAGCCCUGGAUGCUCCGCUUGCUCCACCUCUUACCCUGUCAGCAGACACAGGGCAACUUCUAUGGGGGUCUAACUCCCCAGGGAAUGGGCCCGCCCCCUUGCUCCUCUCCGUGUCCUUCAUCUAUCUGCUCUGCAGACAGCACCAGUUCUGUUGUUUCCACAGAAUCACCCCCUGAUUUCAACCCAGCAGCCUUCCCAGACCCACAGUCAGCCUCCCUCCCCUGAGUAAUAGCCUUUUGAGUCUUUGGAUGUUUUCAAUGUUGUGUUAGUUUAAAUAUUGGUUUGAAUAAAUGAUUCCUCUUUGUU